AGAGUAGGCGCAGGCGGUUGCGGAUACCUCUCUACGGGAGGUCAUCUGAGGAAAGUCCGGACUCCCAAAAGACCAGACUUGCUGGGUAACGCCCAGUGCGAGCGAUCGUGAGGAUAGUGCCACAGAAACAUACCGCCGAUGGAAAGGAUAGAGGAGGAAGGAUAUGAAGGAUAAAUUGAUCUUUUUUUAGCCUUCAUCCUUUAGCCCUUAGCCUUUCACAGGUAAGGGUGCAAAGGUGCGGUAAGAGCGCACCAGCAACAUCGUGAGGUGUUGGCUCGGUAAACCCCGGUUGGGAGCAAGGUCGGAGGAACAAGGGUUGGUCUUUUUCCUGUUCCGCUUUAUGGCACCGCUAGAGGCGUUUGGUAACAAACGUCCCAGAUAGAUAACUGCCCUCUGAAUGCUUAGCAUUGAGAGAACAGAACCCGGCUUAUGUCCUGCUCUUCCC
rnacentral:RNase_P_RNA from 1 species